rnacentral:rRNA from 1 species
GAUGAACGCUAGCGGCAGGCUUAAUACAUGCAAGUCGUGGGGCAGCAGGUUUGUAGCAAUACAGAUGCUGGCGACCGGCAAACGGGUGCGGAACACGUACAGAACCUUCCUUUGAGCGGGGAAUAGCCCAGAGAAAUUUGGAUUAAUACCCCAUAGUAUAAUGAAGUGGCAUCACUUUAUUAUUAAAGAUUUAUCACUCGAAGAUGGCUGUGCGGCUGAUUAGGUAGUUGGCGGGGUAAAGGCCCACCAAGCCUGCGAUCAGUAACUGGUGUGAGAGCACGACCAGUCACACGGGCACUGAGACACGGGCCCGACUCCUACGGGAGGCAGCAGUAAGGAAUAUUGGUCAAUGGAGGCAACUCUGAACCAGCCAUGCCGCGUGGAGGAUGAAGGUCCUCUGGAUUGUAAACUUCUUUUAUAUGGGACGAAAAAAAGGCUUUUCUAAGUCGUCUGACGGUACCAUAUGAAUAAGCACCGGCUAACUCCGUGCCAG